GACCAAGCACACCCCCAGGGCUUCCUGCCGAUGCUCCACGGGCAGCACAUGUGGCAGCAGUGUGCUCGUGGGCAGGCACGUGGCGUGCUGCUGCACCGGAGGGACACUCGUGGCCAUGGGGAGCUGCAGGUGCUUCCUGUGAGUCUAUUCACGUGAGUGAGGGCUUCUAUGUGUUUCUCUCUCAGGUAGCUGUAAGGGCCCUGCAGCAGCAUUUGGUGCCAGCCGGUUCAACAGCUGCCGCCAGAGCCACCAGCGGUAGUGCUGUGCUCUGAAGGAUUCUGAGAAGAGCUGUGAGAACAUACAAAAGUCACAGACACACCUGAUGGUGAGAGCCCUGCAGCCCGGCCUGCUUCAUUCCAUGUGCCGCAGCCUGAGCGCUGUCACCAAGAGCCUACAAGGAGAACGGCAGCGGGAUAAUAGGAAGCCUUUCGAACUACCAGGUAUAUGUGUCAUUAACCAGGUAUGCUCAUUUAAGCUUAGCAUUACCAAAAGCCUGAGGGACUGUGAUUCCUAGAAACGUCUGCAUCAAGACUGGCUGUUCCUUAAAAGGCAAAGUUAAAGAUCGAGGGGAGAUCGUCUGGCACACGUAGCACAGCAGAACCUGGAGCCCCGUGCCUGCACCAGAGGCAAUGGGCAUGAAUGGAAACACGGGAGGUUCUGUCUGAACAUCAGAAAAUAGUCCUUCAGAAUUAGGGUGAGUCCACCCUGGCACAGACUGCCCAGGCUGUGGGGUUCCCUCCUUGGAAGCAUUCGGAAGCCGCCUGGCUGUGCUCCUGGGCACCCUGCACCAGGAGGCUCUGCCUGAGCAGCGGUUGGGCCUCCAGAGGUCUCUUCUGAUCUCUUCCACUCUGGGAUAUCUCUCUUGGCUUCAGCAGCUACUGACACAGCUCAGAACAGAUGCCAUUCCCUGCUGAGUUUCCUUAAACUCUUAUUUUUGAGAAAGUAGGAGCAGUGCUGCUUACGGCACACCACUGCGGUAACACAGCAGGUGAAGGCGGGGCACUUCCUGAACGUUACUGUUCAUUAAUUGCACUUAACUUACAUACAGCUGAUACUGAUCUUCAGUAAUCAAAACGGUUGGUUUCAUUUUCUAUAAGUACUCCUUAUAUAGCUAAUAUAGUACAGAAUUACCCCCUGUCUCAAAAGCAUUAUGCAUGAGCUAUAGUAGAGAAACAAAAGGAAAUCACACCAGGCUGUUUCCUGCCUUCACAUCGUACACAGUUUGCCAUAUGUUCAAUUUCUUCAAAAACCAAUGCAAACAUCUGACAAAUAAGCUGUCUUCUGCGCUGCGUAAAGACUAAGGUUAAAAAUUGAUUCCUUUGGAAGCAACACAGUCAAAUCUAGCUUCUUUAGCACAUACUUACACAGAAAUCAGAGCUCUUAAGACAUUUUAUAGAUUCCUGUUGUGCUUUUAAGCCUGAUCUUGACUACAAGCACUCUCAUAAUGAACACUGUUAGAAGUUAAGUAGGGUUUGAACCCAGCACAGAAUAUACGUUUGCUGGUAUCAGUUCUGAUUGGUUUGGUUUCAGAGAGCUUUUUACAACUUAAGGAUUGCACUCCCGAUGCCAUUGGGCGUAAUGCUGCAGGAGGUGGUCCCGGCCAAAGGUCAGAGGAACAGCCAGAGGGAGGCAGGAGCUGCUCUUUGUCAAGGGAACAAAAUCACACCUCUGUUUGGGAAGGCUUUUACUGCAUUUGACUUCACUAAGAACUGAAGCUUUCAGCAAGAAGAGCUAUUUUGUUUAGGGCCCAGAGAUUCCUCGACCUUCCUCCUCCUGAGGAGCAGCAGGCCUUGCCAGACCACAGCUCCACUCUGGGCGCCCAGCAGGCCGGGGCUGCAGGCCACUGAGGGCCGCUCCUGCCCGGAGCCUGAAGGGCCGCUCCCACAGCACAGCAGCUGCUCCUUCCGGAGGAUAUUAUUUUAUCGGCUAACCAGCAGGAGCACCCUCACCGAGGAGCAGCACUUCCGUCGUUAGCGUAGCUCAGUGUUCCCUUAGGACACGUUUUCCCUAAAAGAUCACUCUUCAAAUCACGUCAAAUCAAAUAGCGUCAUGUCGAAAUAGCACUGCUAACCGAGGCUGAGGAGGCGCAGUUCCCCCGCCCAACAGGGCUCCUCACAACACCUCUCUCCUGCACUUGGUGGCCUCCCCCACAGAGGUGCUACAUCUGCUUAUGCUGCUUAUAAACAAACGCAGCUGUCACCAUCGCCCCACCUUCUUUAUUUUGUGCCUGAACGUAAAGCUGCACCAAACGAAGAACUGAAUGAGGUAAAUAAAUGGAAGCAGUGGAUGGCAGUCAGGAUCUUCUGAGAUUCAGCUGAAGGCACCACGAGAUCUCCCUUCACAGUGCUGAGUUAUUUCCUUACCUCUGGCAUAUUUUUGGUAAAACGAAUGCAGUGUUAUUGCUCACGUGAUAAAAUUAACUGACUCCAAAGCCUAGAAAGCGUUGUGAAACACAGGAAGUGCUCCGGGUUUCAAGCCUGAAUUUAAGAUCUGAUUGAUUUGACUGUACGUAAUGAAGUCAGUGUUGAUUUCCCAGAGUGAAGUGCACAAUAAAGUAGCACAGCACUGACACAGAACGCUAACUGGAGCUACACCAAGAUCACAGCUGUCCUCAGCAGCCCUCAUUCUGCUGUGUCCCACGGCAGUGCUGUGUGAGGUCAGUGCUGGCUAGGCAAGGAAGAAGCCUUGUCAUUUCGAACCUCAGAAUGAAAGCAACUCUUAUUUGCAGUUACACCCACUCAUCAUUGUGCACAGGAAGAGUGCGAGUAUAAAAACGCGGUUAUGACAGGCCUUACAAGCCUUCCUCACCUGACUGCAGCAGAAUACAUGUUGUGUGCUAUGGGUUGGAUAGACUGCAGCAGAACCCCAUAAAGGUGCAGAGCAGACCCUCUUAAGAAAUUUCUUCUUGGCUGUAGAGGAAGCACAAGGAGAUUAAGCUUGCUGGGCUAAAGAAAGUGAAUCCACUGCUGUGAGUACAGAAUCUCAGAACUGGAGGGGAUGGAAGGGACCUUUGGAGAUCAUCCAGUCCAAAAGCUCCAUUAACAGACGCCCGCCCCUCCCUUGAGGAUUUAAGAAGAAAGGAAGGGAGGCAAGGCAAGCUUUCCACCCCGCGGCAGAACCAAGCAUGCCUGCACCAAGCAGGGAGCUGUGUUGUGCUGAGGACUCUCUGUGGGUUUAAUGGAUUUCAGUUGCAUGCCAUGACAGAUUAUGCUGUGGAUUAUCUUCAGAUACAUGUAGGAGAGGUAUUUCAAGGUAUUUUACCUUUUAAUCCAUAUUUAGCAAAAGCCUUUCAACAAAACUUUGUGGUACAACCAAAUACCUUUAUCAUUUUAGACCCAAACACUACACUGGGCUACAAAUAGACCAACACUGUAGUUGAGAGCCCGGUUGUUAUGUGUGGUACCGAUUUUUUUCUGCAAGUUACUGCCCUGAAUUGUCAAUGGACUUCAGAAAGGAACUGUAAGCAAAAUAUUCAAGCAAUGAGAAAUAAAAUAAUGGCCUCUGGAUAAAACCCACUUCAUUCUACUAUAAUUGUAUAAUCUCAUACAGUAUGAGGCUCACUAAAGAAAAGAAUAAGGGACACACUUUACCUUUGUGAAAGUUCUCCCCAUCAGAUAUCUGAAGGAAGGAAGUUAAUAUUCUAAAACCAGGAGUAAUUGGUAUACAAUAAAAGAAAAUCAGUAUCUGUUGCUGCAUGACUUCUAUUGAAUUCACCGUGGUACAUCUUCAAGCUCCUUUAGACAGUUACUGAGCUUGCUUUACCCAUCCAGCUGCCAAGGUCUUCUAUCCCUUAGUAAUUCAAAAUGUUCUUAGUUCUGAAAUGGCUCCAUCACUGCUUUUAGUUUGGCCUUGUCUCUUACUGAGUUGUGCUUAAAUCAUGGUUGCAUAAUUGGUUUCACUACAGAACAUAAAAAACAGACUAUCGGGAAAAACAAAUGAGUCCAUCCAUUAUAGCAGGUACAGUCUGCUAAUGAAAUUACGGACCAGAAGCUCGUGUCCUUGUAGUUUGCUUUAGUCAGGUUCAUUAAAGCGUAGGGCAUGAAUUCAGAUUUUUAUUCAGCUGAAUCUGAAGCUUUGAACAAAUGACUUCCCAAACUAAUUCUUCUGACUGCAAAAAAUGAAAGGCCAUUUGAAAAGCAUUUGGAAAACAAUGUAUAUUUUAAUUAUAUCAAACUAGGAAGUCAAUAUUUAGUAUUCUAAGCUUAAGAGGACAAAUAUUGGGCUUUCUCUAUAAAGGAUUAAACAUUCAGUGAAAUUAAAUCAGCUCAAAAACUUGAAGUUUCUGAAGGCUUAGAUAUUUCCUUUAUGUUUACAG
ensembl:lncRNA